rnacentral:rRNA from 1 species
UACAGAGGGGGCAAGCGUUGUUCGGAAUUACUGGGCGUAAAGGGCGCGUAGGUGGCCUUCUAAGUUGAACGUGAAAUCCCUGGGCUCAACCCAGGAACUGCGUCGAGGACUGGGAGGCUUGAAUCCGGGAGAGGGAUGCGGAAUUCCAGGUGUAGCGGUGAAAUGCGUAGAUAUCUGGAGGAACACCGGUGGCGAAGGCGGCAUCCUGGACCGGUACUGACACUGAGGCGCGAAAGCCAGGGGAGCAAACGGG